rnacentral:rRNA from 1 species
UACGUAGGGGGCGAGCGUUAUCCGGAUUCAUUGGGCGUAAAGCGCGCGCAGGCGGGCGUGCAAGCGGGACCUCUAACCCGGGGGCUCAACCCCCGGCCGGGUCCCGAACUGCACGCCUCGCCCCAGGUAGGGGUAGGCGGAAUUCCCGGUGUAGCGGUGGAAUGCGCAGAUAUCGGGAGGAACACCGACGGCGAAGGCAGCCUACUGGGCCUCGGGGGACGCUGAGGCGCGAAAGCCGGGGGAGCGAACA